GUCUGGCCCUAACGUCUGGUAACAAACAUGAAGUUUGUCUUAUUUUUAAGCCCUUUAUUUCCACUUUGUUGUUUGGUUAAUACAAACUUACAAUCCUGGUUGGUAGAGUGAUGGUCAUCCUCCAGAUUCACGGCUCCCCUACCAGCUCGCCUCCGCUCCAAAAACACGUUCUAGUAAGAAAACACAGCGGUAGUUGGUUAACGCAUGUCAAACUGGUUCUGAUUUAAGGGAACCAAUCGUUCAGCUAGUCCUGUCCGAAACAAAUACAGUUCAGCCUGAGAAGA